rnacentral:rRNA from 1 species
UACAGAGACUGCAAGCGUUAUUCGGAUUCACUGGGCGUAAAGGGUGCGCAGGCGGUUGGGUGUGUCAGAUGUGAAAUCCCGAGGCUUAACCUCGGAACUGCGUCUGAAACUACUCGACUAGAGUACUGGAGAGGGUAACGGAAUUCACGGUGUAGCAGUGAAAUGCGUAGAUAUCGUGAGGAACACCAGAGGCGAAGGCGGUUACCUGGACAGUUACUGACGCUCAGGCACGAAAGCAUGGGGGAGCAAACAGG